ACAAAGCUAUGGGUAUGUGUGACUAUUUCUCUCUAUUUUUAUUUGCAGGGUAAACUUAGUAACAUGGAGGAAAUAUACUUUAUCCAAAAUCAUUGUAUUAUUCAGUCCGGAAGGCCUCAUCUACAACGCAGUUCCAUGGCGUGGAACCAAGGGGCAAUGUUUUGCAAAGCUCUAACGUAUUUUAUAAGGUGACUAUAAAACACAAUAUUUACUUCCCAGAUGAUGCAACAAAUUUUUAAAGCUCAGGCAUUCUUUGGAAUGCACUCCAAGGGCUAGGACUAUUGCUCUCAUUGCAUUACAAGGAAGUGUACCUAUGAAUCAGCCUUUGAAAUCACAUCACAUGUGGAACCAUCUCCAUCACUGAUUUGUAAAGUCAACUGUGGUCCUUGCCCUGCUAUACUAUCAUUAUUAUCAUUCAAGCCCAUCUGACAUUUUCUUCAUUAUUGUGCAUUUAUUGAGUGCCAGUGGGAUGCUACACCAAAGAAGCUGCUAAAAGUUGGUAAGUAGUGCUUGAAUACCAAUCUCCAACACAGAGCUGCUAGAAAUUAUGUUUAUGAUUCAAUAAAUGAGUUUUUUUGACUAUUGCCCAAACUGUGCCCCAGCAUGACCUGAGUAGACUAAUCCUACUAGGGGUACUAUUUUUGGAUGUCAUAAAUCUAAGCUUCUGGCUAUUUCUAGUCAUUAAACAUCCCAUGGAACUUUUCAUAACACUAAGGGUUUUUAAUCCCCAGCUUCUGGCAAAAUUCCAAUUGGUAUAAUUAUGUUCUGCUCACCGUACCUAAAUUCUCAUACGGAAGUAUGAGAGACUCUUUUAUUGUAUCAUCUCUACAACUAAACUGUAAUCUAUAGGGGGUGCUGUAUGGUUUUUAACAUGGGAGAAUGAAAGUAUUAUGUAAUUCUAUAAGUCCUAUUCCCAAACUCAAUUCAGCCAUUACAUUUCUUCAAGGUCUUUGAAAUAAUUUGUAUAUUAAAAUGCAGUCAAUAAAUGUUAAAUUUUAUGUUGUCUCAAAUCACAAGGAGUAGAACCCAGGAGUUCACCGUAAGAGUCUCUUUCCUAACAAUGGGAAAACUGAGCCUCUUUGCCUGAAUUUCAUUAUUGUUCACAUGAUUGUUUGGGAAUUUGGUUUCAACUCAGAAACACACAAAAUGUUACAGGCAACUUGAAUUCAUUAGGUUCUUUUGAUUACAUGGGAAGUUAAGAAGAAUGAAAACCUGGUCUUCUAAUACACCAUACCCACAUGAGUGAAGU